AAUUGAUAUUUUCACAACUAUAUUCGAGAUUUUAAGAAAUCCAGAUUUCUGACUGCUCCAGUUCCAUAUGUUUAUUCUUGUAGGUUCGGGCGAACCACCAUUACUUCUGUCCGCUUCAGUUCACUGUGCAGUAAGAGAUGCCAUCAAAGAAGCUAGAAAAGAGUUGUUCUCCAAUGGAGGAGGAGCUGAAGAUGAGGACCCUCGAGUAUUCCAACUCCCGGUCCCUGCCACAAUGCCGGUUGUUAAGGAGCUAUGUGGAUUCGACAAUGUUGAAACACACCUUAUGAAGAAGUAAGUAACUUACUUAAAAACAAACACACGACAUGUAUACAUUCCGAUUAAAAUCAUAAAUUUUGUAGUUUUGUAAAAUAAAUUAUAUAUUUGGUUGAAUGAAUUGAUAAUCUAAGAGUAUGUUCUAUACUAAUUGACAUAACAGAAUUAACUGACUAUAUUACAAUCUACAAUUAUACUAUCAUAUAAAAUGCAAUAUAAGUAGUUUAUAGGUCAUAAAACAAAAGAACACAUCAUAAAAUACUAACUGAGCUAUAUUUCUCAAUCCACAACAAAGUAUUGGAUUGUUGUAGUUGAAAUAAACAAAACUGGGUUUCAUCUUAGCCAUCAAAAAAACACUAGAAUAUGUAAAAAAACAUUGACAUAAAACAAUAUUCCGAGUGGAUGGAAUAUGUGAUGACAGAAAAUCAUAGUUGAAUGUUGCAUAAAAUACUUACCGGAGCUGUAGUCUUCCGACAUCCUGCAAACAUCGAUCUGUUCUUCGACCUCUACUGCAAUGGACAAGAAUUUGGAAGUUCUUUUCCAAACUGGGAAGAAUUGAAGGAGAAGUUUGUUCAAGUAUCGAACUCUUAAUUCCUAGGAUUUGAGAUAACAAAAAUAAAAACUGGAUUAUACAUUUGGCAAAAGAAAUAUGACAUGCACCAGAGCACGUAUCGGACAAUAGAAGAUCGCCGACGACAAGAAUGAGAAGAAAACUAAAUUGCAAGAAAGGAAUUUAAACUGGAAUUUUGUAUCCCUUCAUUUCAUAGUUACUGGGUUUGAGUUGGAAUUCACAUUGGUAUAUGUAAUUAAUUAGCUGGAGAUUGAGAUGUAAAAACACCUUAUACUAUCUCUCAUUCUCAUACGACAAUUAGAUAUAGAAUGGACACCCAAGAUUGACGGAUUCUACUACCCAAAAAUUGUAAAUCAUCCUAAAUGUUUUUAAUUAUAAAGUUUACCUAGAUUUAGAAAAAAAACGCGGUUGUAUGUUUAAUUUCCGUUGACAAAUAAUGAUUUACCAAAAACACUUCAUAUGUUCGUUCACAUUUUCUGUGGUCUGUGGGUUGUCCGUUGCUUGUUGGUUUGAAUUUCUUUUAUUUAUCUUAAUUUUCCAUGAUUAAGAUGGGAAAAUGUGCAAUUUGUCAAUAUAUUUUAUCCUUCCCUUUCAUUUUCUAUUCAAAAUAAUAAUAGAAAAUAAAAAAACUGUCUUAAAUUCAACUUUAUCAAAUCAAUAUUUAUCUA
rnacentral:lncRNA from 1 species